CCUACGGUAGGCUGCAGUGAGGAAUAUUGGUCAAUGGGCGGAAGCCUGAACCAGCCAAGUCGCGUGAAGGAUUAAAGCCCUAUGGGUCGUCACCCUCUUUUGUCAGUGAGCAAGGUCGUCCACGUGUGGGCGUAUGGAGCGUACCUGAAGAAAAAGCAUCGGCUAACUCCGUGCCAGCAGCCGCGGUAAUACGGCGGAUGCGAGCGUUAUCCGGGUUUAUUGGGUUUAAAGGGUGCGUAGGCGGGACCUUAAGUCAGCGGUAAAAUUGCGGUGCUCAACGCCGUAGAGCCGUUGAAACUGGGGCUCUUGAGUGAGCGAGAAGUAUGCGGAAUGCGUGGUGUAGCGGUGAAAUGCAUAGAUAUCACGCAGAACCCCGAUUGCGAAGGCAGCAUACCGGCGCUCAACUGACGCUGAGGCACGAAAGUGCGGGUAUCGAACAGGAUUAGAUACCCCGGUAGUC
rnacentral:rRNA from 1 species